rnacentral:rRNA from 1 species
UACGAAGGGGGCUAGCGUUGUUCGGAAUUACUGGGCGUAAAGCGCACGUAGGCGGACUAUUAAGUCAGGGGUGAAACCCCGGGGCUCAACCCCGGAACUGCCUUUGAUACUGCUAGUCUCGAGUCCGGAAGAGGUGAGUGGAAUUCCGAGUGUAGAGGUGAAAUUCGUAGAUAUUCGGAGGAACACCAGUGGCGAAGGCGGCUCACUGGUCCGGUACUGACGCUGAGGUGCGAAAGCGUGGGGAGCAAACAGG